ACCUGAUACAGCUAAGUAUGAGCCAAGC
rnacentral:sRNA from 1 species